rnacentral:lncRNA from 10 species
GGAGAUUUUAAACAUGAUUUUAGAUAUUUGGUGUGAUUUUGUGAAUGGGUUUAUCGUUAAUAGCUUUCAUGCUCCAGAAUUUUCUUGAAUAAUAGGUUUUUGCAAAGUGCAUUCCAUGGAAUACUCAUUUGGGUGACGUUAAUAGACAUCACUCAAAAGCUGGGUGAAUAUUACAAUGUUUACUUCAUCUGUAACAAGCUGAGUAGCUACAGUACAUAUCUAAGAGGGGGCUCUAAUUCUCAAUAUUUUCCAAAUUUAUUAGAUCACAGACUUUUCUUUUAGUGAAGUGCUUAAUGAAACUUAAGUUCUGUGAAAAGUACUUUGAGAAAUAUUGCUUUAAAAAGAAAAAGAUUGAGCCCUGUAUCAGGGGAAAUAUCUAAUAUUAUAUUAAACAAAAAAGUCCCACUGAAGAAAAUCAUCUUAUUGUUCAUAGACCUUAGUUUAGGUAUUGGGGCCAAAGGAUGGAUGACCAUUUCAAACGAUCCAGGCUAAGCCAGGAGGAGAGCUCAAAGUCUGAUCUGGUACGUUGCAAGGAUCGAGGGACAGAGCGUGCAGCAAGUGGCCAAUGAAUAGAAGUCUGGUUUUCUGAGCAUCCUUGCAGCUGCAGGCUUCAGUCUACCAGAGAAUGUGAGGUGUUAUUCUUCUAGGGCAGUGGUUAGAAAAGAAAAUGAAAGUAGCAGUACUCUUUUCCUAAUGCAACCAUAGAUGGAUGAUCAGAAUUUGUAAUCCAUAAGGUAGAAGCUGCUGUGCCUGAAGAAAUAGAAAGUGGGCAGAGGUGGAGGGGCAAGGUAGGGAGUGGAGUGGAAGGUAGGGAGAGUUUGAUCCUAGCCUGCACUGCUCCUCAGAGGUACUUUAGCCUCUUUGGAACAGUAUUAGAAAAUCAUGGUUCUAUCAACUCAUGUCUGAAAAUCAAUUGCUAUUUCAGAGCAGGAGGUGACCAAUCUUGGAAAUAAGGAAGGGAGAGAGGCAGCCAAGCCAGCAGCUCCUAGGAUUAGUCACUGCCUGGAGCCAGCUCUUGGAAGUUCCCCAGGAGCUGUCCAGUCUUAUGUCAUGUCUAGUCAGCAGAGUCCCAAAGAAGCUUGUCAUUCUCUAGGCAUUUGUGCUUACAUUCUGAUGGGCCUAAUAGCAGGGAGAUGACAUGGAGCCCAGGCAGAACAGCUGAGAUUUCUACUGGUCAUGACCUCCAUCUUCUCCUUCACACCUUUCCUACCUUUCUUUUUCCAUGCAUUCAACAGACAUUUAUUACCCAAUAAGUGCCAGGUAGUAAGCGAGGACCUGGGGAGAGCAGAUGAGUAAGACACCGUCUCUGUCUCUCAGGAGCUCUCAGAUUCUUAGGGACACAUGUACAUCCUAAUAAACACAGUGCAUCUCAUGAAUGUGUAAGUUUAAGUUAUUGAUAUAGGCACACACAGACAGAGGGACUUCAUUCCCUGCAGGUUCUGUAGUAUUUCGUGCCCACUCCCCUUUCUUCCCUUGCUGCUCACAUCAUCCUGCCUUCAAGGAAUCUGGGGGGAUGGUAGACUGAAAGUGGCCCUUUCUGCAUAAUUCUUCUUGAAAAUAAACAUUUGCUCUCUUCUUAGAGGCUGACUAUACUGAGAGCUACCACUCCUUGGCUGCUUAUUAGCCAUUGGGUUAUUGCUAAGCCCUUUACAUAUGUUAUAUCAUUUAAUUGUAUUGAAUCUUCACCAUAACACUUCAAUGGAAAUAUUUUUCCAAAUAAGGAAAGGUGAGACUCAAAGUAGUUGUAUUAGUCUGCAUUGCUAUGAAGAACUACCUGAAACCGGGUAACUUAUAAAGAAAAGAGGUGGGCCGGGCGCGGUGGCUCAUGCCUAUAAUCCUAGCACUUUGGGAGGCCGAGGUGGGCAGACCACGAGGUCGGGAGUUAGAGACCAGCCUGGCCAACAUGGUGAAACCCCGUGUCUACUAAACACACACACACACACACACACACACACACACACACACACACACACACCUGUAAUCCUAGCUGCUCAGG